UUCGAAAGUGGAUGUAGGUCAUUUGAUUGAACCACUAUACAUCGUGGUGUUCCUUGAAUGUGUGAGUGUUUAAUUUUCUGAACCAUUUCUCUAUUUAGCUGCAAAUCAUUCGGUUUUUAUCUCCCUACUCUUGACCACCUUUACUCGAGCUAUUUUAGCUAAAUAUCCUUCGUCGAAUCGAAAUCUCUACACAUUUACAAAAUUGAUUUUAAACUUACGAGUUUUAAUCCGCUGCACUGAUUCACC
rnacentral:lncRNA from 1 species